rnacentral:snRNA from 1 species
UCCCCUCUUCUGAUCCUUUUGACCAAAAGCAAGUGAGGACUACAUAUUAAAUGGAUUUUUUGGAACAGGGAGAUGGAAUAGGAGCUUGCUCCAUCCACUCCACGCAUCGACCUGUUAUUGCAGUACCUCCAGGAACAGUGCACCUCAC